ensembl:lncRNA
GAUUGGCCGAGCGGGCGGCCGGGGGCGGGGCUCGGCCGCCUUCCCGUGGGCCGCGGCGGCGUCGCCCCCACGAAGACCUUGAGCAGCUUUCUCCUCGGCCCGCGGUGGCCGGGGCGGCAAUCCCGUGGACAGCCGGAGGCCUUCGAAGAGCCUGUCUAGCCCCACCAUCCAGAGGGGACAGCACGGCCUGUGGAAGCUGGGGCUCGCUCCCCCGGGGCUCCAGGCGUCCUGCCAGUAUGCCCUGUGUCCCCGCGGGCCCUGCCCCCAGCGGGCAUGGUGGGCGUGCACAUCUGUGCGAGCAUGAGGCGGGUUCACCCACCGAGGACACUGCUGCCUCCUGCACCCAGGAGCCCCGGCCCCACUUCCAUGAGCAGCGUGGUACCCAGAGCACUUCCGGUUGUUCCUGCCUUCACGGCUGGGAGGAAAUCGAGGAUGUGGAGCGCUUGCCGUUUGGCCGUGGGGCUGGCUCCUGUCCUCAGUCGGGCCAGCGACCCGGCCCAGUCCUCUGACAACAGGAGAGGGGCCCGCCGGGCGCAGCGCGGCCGCUCCGGUCUCUGCAGACAUUUUUACUCUUGAAAUCUAGCCUCAGAAAAGACCCUGAAAGUGCCGGCUCCCUUGAGCAUAGGCACGGGGACUGGUGUCAGGGUUUAAUGCGUGACCGUGCCUCUGUCGCUCGUUUGCCACCGUUUUCCCCAUGGCCUGGCCUGUGUCACCGCUCCAUCACCUCUCCCACCCGGCCCUCUCACCUCUGAGACCGGGAG